CCGGGACAACCCUUGGAAACGAGGGCUAAUACCGGAUAAUCUUAGAUCUUGGCAUCAAGAUUUAAGGAAAGGUGGCCUCUGAAUAUGCUACCGAUUAUGGAUGGACCCGCGUCUGAUUAGCUAGUUGGUGGGGUAAGGGCCUACCAAGGCGACGAUCAGUAGCCGGCCUGAGAGGGUGAACGGCCACACUGGGACUGAGACACGGCCCAGACUCCUACGGGAGGCAGCAGUGGGGAAUCUUCCGCAAUGGACGAAAGUCUGACGGAGCAACGCCGCGUGUAUGAUGAAGGUCUUCGGAUUGUAAAGUAUUGUCUUUAGGGAAGAACGGUUCUCUUGAAAAUAUUGAGAGGACAUGACGGUACCUAAGGAGGAAGCCCCGGCUAACUACGUGCCAGCAGCCGCGGUAAUACGUAGGGGGCAAGCGUUGUCCGGAAUUAUUGGGCGUAAAGGGCGCGUAGGCGGAUAAUUAAGUCCGGUGUGAAAGAUCAGGGCUCAACCCUGAGAGUGCAUCGGGAAACUGGUUAUCUUGAGGACAGGAGAGGAAAGUGGAAUUUCCACGUGUAGCGGUGAAAUGCGUAGAUAUGUGGAGGAACACCAAUUGCGAAGGCAGCUUACUGGGAUGUAACUGACGCUGAUGCACGAAAGCGUGGGGAUCAAACAGGAUUAGAUACCCUGGUAGUCCACGCAGUAAACGAUGAUUACUAGCUGUUAGCGAUAGAAUGUUAGUGGCUAAGCGAAAGCGAUAAGUAAUCCACCUGGGGAGUACGACCGCAAGGUUGAAACUCAAAGGAAUUGACGGGGGCCCGCACAAGCGGAGGAACAUGUGGUUUAAUUCGAUGAUACGCGAGGAACCUUACCCGGGCUUGAAAUGUACCCGAAUAGACUGGAAACAGUUUAGCCAGCAAUGGCGGGGUAUGUAGGUGCUGCAUGGUUGUCGUCAGCUCGUGCCGUGAGGUGUCGGCUUAAGUGCCAUAACGAGCGCAACCCUUAUUGAUAGUUACUAGCAGGUAAAGCUGAGGACUCUAUUGAGACUGCCACCGUAAGGUGCGAGGAAGGUGGGGAUGACGUCAAAUCAGCACGGCCCUUACGUCCGGGGCGACACACGUGUUACAAUGGAUGGUACAGAGGGGAGCUACUUAGUGAUAAGAUGCCAAUCUCAAAAACCAUUCGUAGUUCGGAUCGGAGUCUGCAACUCGACUCCGUGAAGCUGGAUUCGCUAGUAAUCGCGCAUCAGCCAUGGCGCGGUGAAUACGUUCCCGGGCCUUGUACACACCGCCCGUCAAGCCAUGGGAGUUGGGGGUGCCUAAAGAUUGUGACCGCAAGGAACGAUUAAGGGCAAAACCAGUGACUGGGGCUAAGUCGUAACAAGGUAGCCGAAUC
rnacentral:rRNA from 1 species